UACAGAGGGUGCGAGCGUUAAUCGGAAUUACUGGGCGUAAAGGGUGCGUAGGUGGACUCUUAAGUCAGAUGUGAAAUCCCCGGGCUUAACCUGGGAAUUGCGUUUGGUACUGGGAGUCUAGAGUGCAGAAGAGAGAAGUGGAAUUUCCGGUGUAGCGGUGAAAUGCGUAGAUAUCGGAAGGAACAUCAGUGGCGAAGGCGACUUCUUGGUCUGUGACUGACACUGAGGCACGAAAGCGUGGGGAGCAAACAGG
rnacentral:rRNA from 1 species